rnacentral:lncRNA from 1 species
GGAAAGUAUGUGCCUUUCUCUACACUGGCAAGUCAUGCAAGUCCUGGGUUUUUAAGGUGCUGCAGUUUCAUACUCUUCCCAAAAUAACAUGAGUCAGAGUGUUCCAGUCUAAUUCUAAACAGCAGUGCAGUUUUUACUGAGAAGUAACAAUAGUUGCUGCUUUUCUCAUAGUUAAAUUUAUUAAUGGACCAAAUUCUACCCCUCAGAUUUUUUUAAAUUAUCCCUUAAUAAUUUGAUAAUAUCCUUGACCUUUGGCAUUGAUUUUGUAAGG